rnacentral:rRNA from 1 species
AGGCCGAAAGGCGUAGCCGAUGCACAGACGGUAGAGAUUCCGUCACCACCAAAAGAGUUAAGCACAGGGACACAUUUGAAGUCUCAGGGCCGGGUGUUGGUUCCGGUAGAGAUCGAGGGAAGUUAGUACCGAAGUCUGGGAUGGAAGAUGGCGAGAAAAGCUGUGUGUAUUUCUGAGGUGCCCGUACCGCAAACCGACACAGGUAGGUAGGAAGAAGAUUCUAAGGCCAACGGGAGAAGGGUUGUUAAGGAACUCGGCAAAUUGACCCCGUAACUUCGGGAGAAGGGGUGCUCCAGAGAUGGAGCCGCAGAGAAUCGGCCCAAGCAACUGUUUACCAAAAACACAGGUUUGUGCUAAAUCGAAAGAUGACGUAUACGAGCUGACGCCUGCCCGGUGCUGGAAGGUUAAGAGGAGAUGUGCAAGCAUUGAAUCGAAGCCCCAGUGAACGGCGGCCGUAACAAUAACGGUCCUAAGGUAGCGAAAUUCCUUGUCAGGUAAGUUCUGACCCGCAUGAAAGGCGUAAUGAUUUGGGCACUGUCUCAACAGCCCGCCCGGCGAAAUUGUAGUACCGGUGAAGAUGCCGGUUACCCGCGACAAGACGGAAAGACCCCAUGGAGCUUUACUGUAGCCUAAUAUUGGGUUUCGAUGUUGCAUGCACAGGAUAGAUGGGACACAGGGAAACAAUCGCUUUGGCGGUUGCGGAGUGGCCGUUGGGAUACCAUCCUUGCGAUAUUGGAAUUCUAACCUGCGGCUCUGAAUCGAGUCGGGGGACAUUGUUAGGUGGGCAGUUUGACUGGGGCGGUCGCCUCCUAAAAAGUAACGGAGGCGUUCAAAGGUUCGCUCAGCUUGAACGGAAAUCAAGCAAAAGAGUGCAAACGCAGAAGCGAGCCUAACUGCGAGACUGACGGGUCGAGCAGUAACGAAAGUUGGAGUUAGUGAUCCGGUGGUAUGUGAGUGGAAAUGCCAUCGCUCAACGGAUAAAAGUUACCCUGGGGAUAACAGGCUGAUCUCCCCCAAGAGUCCACAUCGACGGGGAGGUUUGGCACCUCGAUGUCGGCUCAUCGCAUCCUGGGGCUGUAUUCGGUCCCAAGGGUUUGGCUGUUCGCCAAUUAAAGCGGUACGCGAGCUGGGUUCAGAACGUCGUGAGACAGUUCGGUCCCUAUCUGUCGUGGGCGCAGGAUAUUUGAUGGGAGCUGUCCCUAGUACGAGAGGACCGGGACGGACGUACCUCUGGCGCACCAGUUGUUCCGCCAGGAGCAUAGCUGGGCAACUACGUACGGAUCGGAUAAACGCUGAAAGCAUCUAAGCGUGAAGCCGACCCAAAGAUAAGAUAUCCCACUGAUUUGAUCAGGUAAGAUCCCUUGAAGACUACAAGGUUGAUAGGCACGAUGUGUAAGUGGAGUGAUCCAUUCAGCAAGAGUGUACUAAUAGAUCGAGGGCUUGACC